rnacentral:lncRNA from 10 species
CCAGUGGGAGGGCAGCUCUGUCUCAACCAUUCUUUGCUGGGGAGAGAAGCAAGGAGGUUAUGGGGAAGUCCCCAGAAGAGGCUAAAUCUCUGGGGAUCAGAACUAAGCCUCAUUCUCCAUGCCUCAUUUAUGAGGUAUGCAUGAGGUGUCCAUGCUGUCCUUGGGGAGCAGUCAACACCUCCUGCCCAUUCUGACCUUGUACCGCGGGACUUGCCUAACCUGGAAAUGAGCUUAACCCACCUCCAGGGCUGCUGUGGGGAUGGAAUGGGAAGAUGCACAGGGAAGUGUGAAGAGGCUCAGAGCGACCAUGCCCACACAACACUCAGGAGAGAAGCCAUGGAGAUGUGGGGUGCACAGUGAUAUGCACACUCGUGGCAGCCGCCUCGUGACCCAGCCAUUCCCACACAUGCCAUGUGUUGCCAGGUGCCCCGUGUGUGCAGUACAGGUGCAGAGGAGGACGAGGCAGGCCCCCUGGGAGCUGGCUAUGCCCCUGCGGUGUCCUAGAACAGCUGCAACUGUUGGGACUGCAGAGCCACAGAGAGUUGGAGGAGAAGAGGAAGUUGGAGGGACAGAGAGCUUGGGGGAUCCACAAAGAGUCUCGGCAGAGUGAACACCUAAGCUGAGGCCCUGACUCAGCUAUGUGCAGGUUUGGGUAUCAGUCACCAUCCCGCUGCCUUCUCACCCCGGGCCCUGUUGUCCCUCAGCAGUGCCCACCUGAACAGGAGCCAGGCCCACAGUGCUCCAGCUGCAUUUUGUGCUCUCUGCACUACUUCACAGGCAGAAGCCCCAGCUGCCAGCCCUGCCCCUCAGGUAGGUGUGACUGGGCUUCCCCAAUGACAUUCGGGAGGCACCAGACCCUGGAGUGAGCUGGGAGGGUCCUUGGGUCUCCUGUGUUUGGACUAGCCUGUCCAUACCCCAGGAGCCCAGGUGGCCUCUGAGGGGUAGAGCCCAGCUAGCCCUGGGCCCAAACACACAAAGAACUAUCAACACAGGAAGUGGCACAAAUGAAAUGAGAUGAUGCAGAAGAAAGAAGUAUGCAGAGUGUUGGGGAACGGGGCAUUGGAGGAUGGCUGGAGUCCUGUUCUGCUCCUGGCUAGGGUGUAAUCUUGGCAGACUGUUGCAGUUCUCAGUGUACAGGUCCUGUUAAAUUUAUCCCCAAGUAGUUCAUGUUUCUGGAUGAUGUUGUAAGUGGAACUGUAUUUUUUAUUUCCAUUUCCAGUUGUUCAUUGCUGGUAGUGAUUUGUGUGUAUUGACCUUGUAUCCCUCAACCUUGCUUACUUCAUUUAUUUGUUAUGGUAGUUUUUGUGUAGAUUUUUAAGGGUCUUCUCUGCCGGUAAUCAUGUUAUCUGUGAAUAAAGAUGAUUUAAAUUCUACUUUUCCCUUUUUUUUUUUUUUUUUUUUUUUGAGACGGAGUUUCACUCUUGUCGCCCAGGCUAGAGUGCAAUGGUGCAAUCCCAGCUCACCGCACCGCAACCUCUGCUUCCCAAGUUCAAGCGAUUCUCCUGCCUCAGCUUCCUGAGUAGCUGGGAUUACAGGCAUUUGCCACCAUGUUUGGCUAAUUUUGUAUUUUUAGUAGAGAUGGGGCUUCUCCAUGUAGUCAGGCUGGUCCCGAACUCCUGACCUCAGGUGAUUUGCCCACCUCAGCCUCCCAAAGUCUUGGGAUUACAGGCGUGAGCCACCACGCCUGACCAACUUCUACUUUUUCAAUCCAUUCACAUUUUGUUACUUUUCCUUGCCUUAUUAUACUGUCUAGGGACUCCACUACUGUUUUGAAUAGAAAUGAACAUCCUUGGCUUCUUCCUGAUCUUAGGGAAAAAGCAUUCAGUCUCUAAUCACAACGUUGCUGUUAGCUGUAGUUUACGGGUGCCUUUAAUCAGGUUGAGGACAUUCUCUUCUAUUUCUUGCUGAGUUUUAUCAGGGAUAGAUAUUUAAUUUUGUCCUGUGUUUUCCUGAACCUAUAGGGGUAAGCAUAUGGAUUUUCUCUCCUUUGCUCUGAUAAGAUGGUGAGUAUCAUUGUUUUUUGGAUGUUAAACCAAUCUUGCAUUCCUGGA